rnacentral:misc_RNA from 1 species
GAAAGGUUACACUAAUGGAAUCUCAUCAGCUUCGGAGCUAAAAACCGAUUCCGAAAUAUCUUCUCGUCGGAGCGGAAAAACGCCGCCGCGGCCUGAAUCUACUCUACCGGAGACCCUCAUUUCUCGCCGGCGUAUAGAUUUCAGCUCAUUUACAGGCAAAAUCUGAGGUAUACUUAUCCAAAACCCUAGAUUUCUCGGAGUCUCCCUUGGGAGACUGAAAUAGUUAGCAAACAUGAGGAUUAUGAUAAAGGGAGGAGUAUGGAAGAACACGGAGGAUGAGAUU